ACACGUGCAGGUGGAUGAUCGAUUGAAGGAGAAAGUGAGGGUUGGAAUUACACUCUGAAAGCGGAAAUAAUAAACCAGAGUUAAUAUUUAUGGACCAAAUAGAAGAUAUUUCAUCAGAUUAUAUUCUUCAUAAAAAUGAAAAUUGCAUACAAAUUCGCAUUAACGACGGCGGUCGAGACGGUCGUAUCAUUUUAACUAAUUCGGAUGAAAUAGGUUUAAAGGAGUGGGCCUUUUCCCUCAGGUCUGCACAUAAGAUGUCUCAAGAUCUAUUAGGAUCCAUGGCUAAAAAGGCUGGAAAAAUUUAUGGAAGUGAACGAGAUGCCAACAAAUCUAUGCUUAUACUUGGAGGAAAUUGUUCAACCAAAACUUCUAAUGGCCCCAACUAAAUAUUCAUAUUAAAUCAAAAUUUAAUUUCAAAUAUCCAUUGUAAAAGUUAAAAAAAAAAUAA